rnacentral:rRNA from 1 species
AUGGGCAACUCCAUCGCCUGCUUCUGCUGCGCCGGCGGCGGCGUGGGGGCGGUCGGCGGCGCCAAGAGCCGGCGCCGCCACGUCGCGCCGGCCGCGCUGCCCUCCGACCCGGCCUACGACGAGGGGCUGGGCCACUCCUUCUGCUACGUGCGCCCCGACAAGCUGCCCCCGGCCCACUUCUACUACCCCGCGGCCGACGACGGCGACCUGCUCGUGCCCGACGCCAAGGCGGCCGCCGAGGAGGCCACCACCUUCCGCGCCAUCUCGGGGGCCGCGCUCUCCGCCAACGUCUCCACGCCGCUCUCCACCUCCGCGCUCCUCCUGCUGCCCGACGACUCCACCGCCUCCUCCGGCUUCGAGAGCUCCGAGUCCUUCGCCGCCGUCCCGCUGCAGCCGGUCCCCCGCUUCCCCUCCGGCCCCAUCUCCUCCGCGCCCUUCUCCGGCGGCUUCCUCUCCGGGCCCAUCGAGCGCGGGUUCCUCUCCGGGCCCCUCGACGCCGCGCUCCUCUCCGGCCCGCUCCCCGGCGCCGUCGCCUCCGGGCGGAUGGCCGGUGGCGGGGGCGCUGUUCCCGCGCUGCGACGGAGCCUCUCGCAUGGCGGCCGCCGCAUCCGCGACUUCACGCGCGCGCUGCUCGCCCGCACCGACCGGUUUCAGGGCCACCCGGAUCUCGGCUCGCCCGACGCCGCGGCGGCCGUCGCGGCCUGUGGCGGGGACUCCAAUGGCCUGCAGUGGGCGCAGGGGAAGGCCGGCGAGGACCGCGUCCACGUCGUCGUGUCGGAGGAGCGCGGCUGGGUGUUCGUCGGCAUCUACGACGGCUUCAACGGCCCCGACGCCACCGACUUCCUCGUCUCCAACCUCUACGCCGCCGUGCACCGCGAGCUCCGCGGCCUGCUCUGGGAGCAGUCCCAAGAGGACCAGCCAGGCUCAGCGCCCAGCACCACGGCCCCGGACCACCAGGACCAGUGCACCCGCCGGCGCCGCGCGCGCCGCUCCAGGCCACCGCGCAGCGGCAGCGGCAGCGUCGACGACAACGACCAACGGCAGUGGAGGUGCGAGUGGGAGCGCGACUGCUCCAGCCUCAAACCGGCAACGCAGCCUCCUCCCCGGAGCAACGGCGAGAAUGACCACAUCGCCGUGCUCAAGGCGCUGGCGCGCGCGCUCCGCAAGACGGAGGACGCGUACCUGGGCAUCGCCGACAAGAUGGUCGGCGAGUUCCCAGAGCUGGCGCUCAUGGGCUCCUGCGUCCUCUCGAUGCUCAUGAAAGGGGAGGACAUGUACGUUAUGGGCGUGGGCGACAGCCGGGCUGUCUUGGCGACAAUGGACAGCGUCGACCUCGAGCACAUCAGCGAGGGCUCCUUCGACGGCCUGUCGCCGUGCCUGUCCGCCGUGCAGCUCACCUCGGAUCAUAGCACUUCCAUGCCGGAGGAGGUUCGCAGAAUUCGAAAUGAGCACCCCGAUGAUCCGUCGGCGAUCUCCAAGGACCGCGUGAAGGGCUCGCUCAAGGUGACCAGAGCGUUCGGCGCCGGUUUCUUGAAACAGCCGAAAUGGAACGACGCGCUGCUGGAGAUGUUCCGGAUCGACUACGUCGGGUCGUCGCCCUACAUCACGUGCAACCCUUCCCUUUUCCACCACAGGCUGAGCACGAGGGACAGGUUCCUCAUCCUGUCCUCGGACGGGCUCUACCAGUACUUCACCAACGAGGAGGCGGUGGCGCAGGUGGAGAUGUUCAUCGCGACGACGCCCGAGGGCGACCCCGCCCAGCACCUCGUCGAGGAGGUCCUCUUCCGAGCAGCGAACAAAGCAGGAAUGGACUUUCAUGAGCUGAUCGAGAUCCCGCAGGGCGACCGCCGGCGGUACCACGACGACGUGUCGGUCAUCGUCAUCUCCCUGGAGGGCAGGAUCUGGAGAUCUUGCGUGUAA